CGCGUAGGCGGGCACUCAAGUCAGGGGUGAAAUCUUUCGGCUUAACCGGAAAAGUGCCUCUGAUACUGGGUGUCUCGAGGGAGGUAGGGGCGUGUGGAACUUCCGGUGGAGCGGUGAAAUGCGUAGAUAUCGGAAGGAACGCCGGUGGCGAAAGCGACGCGCUGGACCUCUUCUGACGCUGAGGCGCGAAAGCCAGGGGAGCAAACGGGAUUAGAUACCCCGGUAGUCCUGGCCCUAAACGAUGGGUACUAGGUAGUGGACUUGACAUGGGUUCACUGCCGAAGCAAAAGUGUUAAGUACCCCGCCUGGGGAGUAUGGUCGCAAGGCUGAA
rnacentral:rRNA from 1 species